AUUAUGCAGGGCUAGCCAAAGGAGCCUAAACCAUGUAGGACAAAAUUGCAAAGAUAUAGACAUUAUUAUUUUUAACUUUUGUUUUAGUUUGUCAUCUAUAUCUGGGCUUUUUAUGCUCAGGAAAAACGUGGAACUCACUAUGAAAUGCAGAAUCUCUGCAAAUCAGUCCCGAGAGCCCCCACGAUCCUUCACUGAAGUCAAGGAAUCGAACACUCAGCUCGUAGAGCGGAUUGCUCAUUCCUCGCAGCUGAUAUCACAUGGGGGCCUACACUGGUCUGGAGUAAAGAGAAAUAAAUCGGAAACUUGCGAUAACUCUAGAACCAUGGUCCUUAAAGUACGGCUCCCCAACCAGCACCAUCAGUUUCACCUGGGAACUUGUUAGAAAUGCAGUUUCUCAGAACCCAGCCCAGACCUGCUCUGUCAGAAGCUCUAGGGGUGCCUCGUAUUCUCCAUUUAGCAAGUUCUCCAGUUGAUUCUGCUGCAGGCUGAACUUUGAGAACCACUGCUCUGGAUAAGAUUGAAGGCAAUUCCCGAAAGCUGAAGAGAGAUCACCAUAGACAUGUGGCAUCAUCUGUAUAUCCUCUAGUAGAAAGCAGGAGCCGCACUCCCCAGGUCUAGAACCGGAAGUGCGCCUCAUUAUGAAAUGAAAUGAUUAUUUUUGUGCUGAAGGAAAUACCUGUAGGACUCAAAGUUACUUUGGAGACAUAUAGAAAAUAAGAUUUAUGCGUGAGCGUUCAGAAGAAAUGAAAGCAUUUACACGGGCCGUCUUCCAGCCAGUCUGGUGUAGUUCUUUGGGAAGAAGAGCAAUUAAAAACUUGACACACUAUCAAAAAAUGAUGCAAUGGAAAUUAAAUUGCAUGGAUUUUGUGAGUAGAUUUAGGGAAAUGGAAUGCGUUUGAUGUCGGGCCUCCCAAUCCUUGACCACAUCCCACUUGUCACAUAGGAAGAAAUGGAUUUCCAUGAUAUUUAGAAAAAAGGAGAAUUCCAGAUAUACAGAUAUACACCAAAUAAAAUGAAUGUUAGCCCUCAGGAAUGGUGAUUGCAAAGACUGAAGAUCCUGGAUUCAGGUCACACUACAGAGGGAUUUUGAACUUUUUCCUCAAGCCAGAUUGUAUGGUUUAACAGUUUUUCUGUUAGAAGAACGGAGCAGAUGAUGUGAAAUUUCAGUCAAAGGCAGCAAAAAUGAAAGCAAGGCAAAGGUAACAUUGGAAAUGAAAAGUGCAUCAAUAAAAAGAUGGAGAGCUGAAACUCCUGCGGGAAACGGAAACGCUUAUUUUUAAGAUUAUGUCGCCACCUAGUAAAUCAGCAUAGAAAUACACCCGCAGCAAGUGCAGCCUGUGCUGAGCUCCGUCCUCUGGCUAGCAAUUCCCACUGGCACCUUUCUCUCUAAACAUCUGCACACACAAGACGAGCCUGCGACCUGCACCAGCCUCUCGAGUUCUCAGUCACAGCCCAGCUCACAGCCAGCUCUUCCUCCAGGGUUACGGAACGGAGAAGUCAACAGCACACGUUUGAGACCUGAAAACGUGUCGAGAUUUUCUCUCCAUCUCUGUUACCUACCUUUGGAAAUGAUUAGUUCAAACCGCACAGAUUAUUGUUUGCCUGUUCUAAAUAAUGUAACUCUGGGCUGUUCGUUAGUGAAAUAUUUUUCAUUUUCUACUUUUGUUUCUGUCUCAUAAAAGAAGUGGGCCGGUCAUGGUCUUUCUCUGUGGGGAAGCACAGGAAUCGUGGAAUUAAAAACACUACACAGAGAAGCCCACUUUUUUCAGUUAAAGCCGUGCCUUUAGUUUUGCUGUUAUUUUAAGCAGUCUCAUUUCAUCUGCAGUAGUGUUUGCACUGAAUAGUUGAUCACCCACCCUGGUUUUUUUUUUUUUUUUUUUUUUUGCUUGAGGAAGAUUAGCCCUGAGCUAACAUCUGCACCAAUCUUCCUUUACUUUAUAUGCAGGUUGCCGCCACAGCACGGCUAACAAAUGGUGUAGGUCCAUCCCCAGCAUCAAAACCCAGGCUGCGGAAGUGGAUUGCACUGAACUUAAUCACUAGGCCCUGGGGCCAGCCCCCUGGUUUUGUUUUUUAUGAAGAGAGAGUUAGUUUGAUAAAAUAUCACACAGAGUUUUAUUGGUUUGGUGUCUACAGAUGAUUGGUCCCCAGGGGUGGGAUUCUGGCCAUACCCUUUGCUACUCCUAAUUUUUUCAUCUGUGAGAUGGGGAUAACAAUAGUAUAUACAGCACUUGACUUUUAGGAGGAAUAAAUUAAAGUGCUCAGAAAUUUUAGCUAUCGUUAUCAAUAACAAAAAUACACUGAUUGAAAUGGUUGAAAAAAAUUCCAUGUUGCCACUCACAAUAGAUUGAAAUGCUUUAGCCAAGCAAAUAGAUACAGAGAAAGGAGGCAUAUAUUCAGAGACCAGGAAACCAUCCAUUUUUAAAAAUUCAAGUGAUAAAAUUUUUUAAAAUGAUUAGAUUUUAAUAAUUAUAAAAUUGAUUAAAUUCAAAUGCUUUAAAAAC
rnacentral:lncRNA from 1 species